AAGAGUCCGUUUUCCACUGAAAUGUCAAGCUGAGCUUUGCCAGAGUCCAUCAGCACAGAAAUGUCAGGAGAAACAAAUGAUGGAUCUGCAUGGAGCCAUUCAGUGCAGGAAGUAAGAUAAGAAGUCCUCUUCCUUUUUUUGGGUGGAAGAAUAAGUCCCCUCCAGUUUUCAACCACUUCUUCAUCUGUUGGAGGAAUGUUUGUGGUUUCAUCGGAUUCCACAGAUUGAACAAAUCCGCAUAUUUCCUUCAAUGAAGGAAAGAUGACGAGAAAUAAAGCAAUCAACUCGAAUGGGUAAGUUCUCAUGUUUAAAAAAGCCAUGUUUUACAUUUCUGAAUUCUGCUUCAACGGUGGCUGAUCUUGCUGUGAGACUGGUGCUUUUGAAGAAGGGGACCAUUACUCCUAUCCAAAGUGGUAAGUAACUUGCUAGUCUUAUUAUGUGUGGAACAAUCUCAGGGAGGAAAUGG